rnacentral:rRNA from 1 species
AGAUCGGAAUUCCUGGUGUAGCGGUGAAAUGCGCAGAUAUCAGGAGGAACACCGGUGGCGAAGGCGGAUCUCUGGGCCAUUACUGACGCUGAGGAGCGAAAGCGUGGGGAGCGAACAGGAUUAGAUACCCUGGUAGUCCACGCCGUAAACGUUGGGAACUAGGUGUUGGCGACAUUCCACGUCGUCGGUGCCGCAGCUAACGCAUUAAGUUCCCCGCCUGGGGAGUACGGCCGCAAGGCUAAAACUCAAAGGAAUUGACGGGGGCCCGCACAAGCAGCGGAGCAUGUGGCUUANUUCGACGCANCGCGAAGAACCUUACCAAGGCUNGACAUAUACNGGAAAGCAUCANAGAUGGUGCCCCCCCUUGUGGUCGGUAUACAGGUGGUGCAUGGCUGUCGUCAGCUCGUGUCGNGAGAUG